rnacentral:rRNA from 1 species
CAAUAGCGUAUAUUAAAGUUGUUGCGGUUAAAAAGCUCGUAGUUGGAGUUCUGCCAGGUGCCGCCUGUCCGCCCCAGUGGUGAGUACGUGGCGCGCAUUUGGCCCUUUCAAGGGGAGCGUAUCUGCACUUUAUUGUGUGGUGCGGGAUCCUUGACUUUUACUUUGAGGAAAUAGGAGUGUUCCAAGCAGGCUCUCGUCGUGCACAGCUCAGCAUGGAAUAAUAGCAUUGGACCUCGAUUCUAAGCUGUUGGUUGCCAGAAGCGAGGUAAUGAUGAAGAGGGAUAGUUGGGGGCAUUCGUAUUUAACUGUCAGAGGUGAAAUUCUUGGAUUUACGGAAGACGAACAACUGCGAAAGCAUUUGCCAAGGAUGUUUUCAUUAA